rnacentral:lncRNA from 1 species
AUUGCAAGGGGAGAGAAACAGGACUCGGUCUUCAGUAUUUGCCAUGAAUUCUCAAUUGGUUUUUCUUUGUUUUUUUUUCAGAUAAAGAACUCAUCCUUAUAAUAGUGGGCACAGUGUUUGGAGCCAUUAUCUUGUGUUUAGUGGCAGCAGUCUCAAUUGUUUCAGUAAGAGCCAAGCACAGUCAUGAUCCAGAGAAAAAGAGGUUGAUAAAGCCAAGAAAUUCCAACUCAAAUACUUCUGAGGAGACCAGGAUCUUCCCCAGGGUCCAGACCACUUCUGGCCAUGCGAACCCAGGGUAUCAGCCAAACAACCCUUACGAGGUGCAUUCCUCAAACAGAGGUGACUUUGUGGAGAAGGAUUAUGAUGAUUUGUAUGAAAUAUCGCGGCAGCCUGAGGGCUUUCGGUUGCAACGCAGAUAACUGAGCGGCCAGUAGUAGAAGGAUGGACGACAACCACAACACUGGCUCAGACUAAAGAGCUUCACAGCCUCUUACCAGCAGUGAUUUCAUCAGCAGAGACAACGGAGUCCGUAGUACAAGAUUCUGAAGAUUUUCUAAAAGAAGACCCCACUAGAAGGAGGAGGGCAGUAACUCUUUGAAAUAAGGGAAAAUAAAAAUAAAGCAGAGUGUAGGGAGAAGGAGACU